CCUACGGGGUGCAGCAGUCGAGAAUCAUUCACAAUGGGGGAAACCCUGAUGGUGCGACGCCGCGUGGGGGAAUGAAGGUCUUCGGAUUGUAAACCCCUGUCAUGUGGGAGCAAAUUAAAACGAUAGUACCCCCAGAGGAAGAGACGGCUAACUCUGUGCCAGCAGCCGCGGUAAUACAGAGGUCUCAAGCGUUGUUCGGAAUCACUGGGCGUAAAGCGUGCGUAGGCUGUUUCGUAAGUCGUGUGUGAAAGGCGCGGGCUCAACCCGCGGACGGCACAUGAUACUGCGAGACUAGAGUAAGGGAGGGGGAACUGGAAUUCUAGGUGUAGCAGUGAAAUGCGUAGAGAUCGAGAGGAACACUCGUGGCGAAGGCGGGUUCCUGGACAGUAACUGACGCUGAGGCACGAAGGCCAGGGGAGCGAAAGGGAUUAGAUACCCCGGUAGUC
rnacentral:rRNA from 1 species